UCCGGGUCGGAUUUGGCUACCAGGAAGCGUAGGCGACCUCCUCCCAGACGAAUCAGAUCCACCGCGCUGCGAGGAGCACACAGGAGGAAGUGGGGGGGGAGAAAGACAGGAGUCCAGUUACAUGAAGCUCAGCAGAGACAGACACACUUUAGGUCACAAACAGCAGCAGUGGAACGUCGUCUGUACCUCUGGUAGUCUGCUCCGAUCAGGCUGGUCCCGUUCACCGCCAGGAUGCGAUCCCCGAUCCUCAGUCUGCCGUCGGAGGCAGCAGGUCCAUCGGGGAUCAGAGUCCGGAUGUAAAUGCCUGGAGCGUUGAGAGGAGUGUGCUGCAGGAGGGACAAGUGUUAGACUGGCGGGCAUUUUCUUAAGACUUAAUGGUGGCGUAGCUCUGUGGGAUGACCAGCUUUGAGUCAUCAACAUUAUAAUCAUCACUAAGGUUUGAUAAACUGCAGGUGAGCGUACUGAGAGUGUGUCUGCCUCGUGCCGUGUUACCACUGAACUCCUGCUGACAGAACCGCACUGCUGGAACCUGGACUGACAGCCUGCAGAUGUCACACUCAGUACACCGACAGACUGAACAGGAGGAGAGACAGCCAUCAUGUGAGAGCUGCAGGCUCUGCUACAGAACUGAACAACAUGCAGAGUAAAAGCUGCAUUCAUCGAUUUUUGGCCUCCGGGGGAGACAGAGGAACUCAGAUAUAGGUGAAACUGAUAUGAUCAGUUUAUAAAGUUGUUGAGGUUUACAUUUUGGCAAACAAUUAUUUGUUUACACAUCCAGUGGACCGAGAGAUGAACGUAUGUUUGAUAUCAGCUCUUGUUUUCCCUUUAGACUCAUGAGAAAAUGUAGCCGGGAGAACGGCCAUUGCUACAUUUACUUUCCUGCCAGUUGUUGCUUGACAGCCGUCACACGGCGAGCUUCAGGUGUUUUUGCUGCAGCUGUGCACUGAGGCUGAAUCAGUCAGACAGGAAGGGGAAACCCUGAUCUAAGUCAAACAUGAGUCAUCUCUGCACAUCCAAUUGCAUUAUCCAAGACAUUAAAAUAUUUAAUUUUGCUAUUGUGUUAUUAACACAUAUGAAAAUGUGAUCUGAAUGAUCCAGCAAAUAUGUUUGGCCUUGUGCAUUUUUUGUUCAUGAGUUCCUCCGGGCGCCUUUUUACUAGUAAUUAAUGGUAAUUAUUCUUUUUGUACAGACUCUCUCUCUCCUCCCUUCAGUUGUAUUUUGAGGGUCAUUUAUUUACCAAAAAAAGAAACAAGACACAUAGUACACAAAGUUGGAUAUAUUUGAUUGUUAGCAUUUUUAAAAAACUUCUAUAGACAUUGCGUUAAUAUCUUUAUCGGGAAUUUGAUUGGCCACAAUGAGCAUGUUGUGAAAAUUUUUAUUUUAUUUUAUUUCUCAAAGUACUUUUUAACCCUCAAAUUGCUAGUUCUGUUCCCUCGUUCUGCUGUGUCAACUUAAUCUAUCCUAUAAUGGACCAAUAAAGGUACAGCUUACAUAUCUUUGUAUUACUGAACAGUGCAAUUGUCUAGAAAAACGCCAGUGUGCCUUUUUUUGCGAGUUCCCAUCAGACUUCAAAUUUGUGAGAUUUUUAAAAAGGUAACCGUAUUCGGGGAAGAAAGUUAGAUCUGUGAAUCCCUAACACUGUGUAUAAUUAACUGCAAGGUUUCAAAAUCAUGCUUUACAUUCAAGGUGGACAAAAUGACAGAAACACCACACACAAUGUGAUUUAGUGCAACAGGCCUACAAAUAAACACUACUUUAAAAUGGCUCUGAUUGCAUAGUUCUGAUUUUUAAAAGGUCACAGACGGCGGUGUGUCCAAUCUCCUCUGCUGCUCAUGUGUUCUUGUUAUUUUGUCCACCUCCUGUAUGUCAC